CAAUGCAAGGUAAGAUAUAUUUAGAUCUAAAAAAGGUUCCAACUUGUAUAAAUCAUUUUAUUUGAGGCGUCAUACAUAAGGAUAAUACAUUUUUUUUUCUUAAAAAACUAUAAAGAAAGACAAUGUUUUUAUUUUCUAAAAUAAAUGUUCGUUUAUUGCUUUUUAUCAUCGACAAAAUUUGAUAAAACCUUUAAAGUUAAUUAUAGAACGACAUCAUGAAGAGGAGCCGUGCAGGAAGAUGAUCCCGAAAAAUAUCAAUUAAUGACAGCCUCUUCCAUAAACUUCAAAAAAAAAUCACCCGAUAAAAAAUGGCUAAAUUCUUGGAACUACAUCUGGAAGGUUUCCAAAACAGUCAAAAAAUCCCCCGUGGUUAACAUAGCUACGAAUGCUAUUAAAAAUGCA